UGAACUCUUUUUUCAGUUCCAAAGAGUAAGGUGUUAAUAAAUAUUUUCUGAACCAUGAUCUAAAUCCAGUUGUGAAGUCUGACUAGAGAAGACUGUUUCAAUUCAUUUUCACUUCUGCAGAGAUGGGAUUUACUUCUUUCUUCCCUUUAAAGAUAACGGAAGACCAUGUUACUUGAGAUGCAAGAAUACCUGCACUAAAAAUGAAUAUGAGGUUGCAAGGGCAUAUUGUUCUAACAAUCAAAUGGUUUGGUGCUGCGGAGUAAAAGAUGGUAUGGGCCCAAGUAAUGAGGAAAACCCGUGUCCAAUGAGAUGCAAGACUUACUGCCCUAUAGAGGACGAUAAGACUCCACAGGCAAUGUGCCCUAAUGAUGAAAUGGUUUGGUGCUGCAAAGGAAAAGGAGAUGUGCCGCCUGAUAUGUGAGCAAUUCCUUUGCAAAAGACAGAUGCUUCUUCAGCAGCAAGUUGCAGCAUAUGUGAGCAGUGAUUCAGAAGAAGCUGCCCAAAAGCCCUCAAUGAAUUAAAUAUCUUAUAACAAUGCUGUGAUAUCCUGCUGUUAAUAAAACCAAACAUGUUGGCCCUAACUUCCAUGAAUUGGUAUCCAUCACUGCAUCCUGUGACAGUAAACUCUACAGUUUAUAUCCUAUGUGAAGAAGUACUUCAUUUUAUCUGUCCUGAAUAGAGAUGUAAAUCUUUGAAUAUUUGGCACUUGUACACAAGGCUGAAUAGUUUUCCUCACACCACUCAAUAUUUGUGCAAGUGUGUCUUUCAGUUAAUCCAAGGUCCUACGCUCAUACAUCUGCAAAACGUGUAACUCGACAUUCCUCCUGCUCCUCCAUUAAAAAAUUAUUUGUGCAAUUUCAGCUAAGGUUGCUUACAAAAUUGCAAAUAAAAUUUGAAAUCAAACAAGAGGAGAGGAGGAGAAUCCUGCUUCAAUGUCCUUUCAGUGUCAGGAUGAUGAUUUAUUUAUUUCGUGUCAAAGGCACUGCAUAUUAAAUAAGUUUAAAAGUGAUAAAAUAAAGGAAUCACAAACAGCUAAAUAGUUUUGGACCAAAAGCGGGCAACAGCAAUCGCAUUGUCCGUAGCUUUAAACAACUCCUCCUCCGUGCAUGAGGCAGGGCAUUGUGGGCAGGCAUACAUAUGCGGAGUUGUUUGUUCUGCUCCAUAGUCACACAAGGUGGAAGAUUCCUCCAGGUAGUGCCAUCUUGCCAGGUUGUCUUUUGAUCUGCCCACUCUGCUUCUCAGUCUAUUUAGGGACCUCCAAGUUGCCCAUUUUUGGUUUGCCCCUGGAGGCAGACCCUCAUGAGGGGCCAUCCAGUUAGAUUUGC